CCUACGGGUGGCUGCAGUGGGGAAUAUUGGACAAUGGGCGAAAGCCUGAUCCAGCCAUGCCGCGUGUGUGAAGAAGGCCUUCGGGUUGUAAAGCACUUUCAGUGGGGAAGAAAGCCUUGGGGCUAAUACCCUCGAGGAAGGACAUCACCCACAGAAGAAGCACCGGCUAACUCCGUGCCAGCAGCCGCGGUAAUACGGAGGGUGCGAGCGUUAAUCGGAAUUACUGGGCGUAAAGCGCGCGUAGGCGGUCUGAUAAGCCGGUUGUGAAAGCCCCGGGCUCAACCUGGGAACGGCAUCCGGAACUGUCAGGCUAGAGUGCAGGAGAGGAAGGUAGAAUUCCCGGUGUAGCGGUGAAAUGCGUAGAUAUCGGGAGGAAUACCAGUGGCGAAGGCGGCCUUCUGGACUGACACUGACGCUGAGGUGCGAAAGCGUGGGUAGCAAACAGGAUUAGAUACCCCGGUAGUC
rnacentral:rRNA from 1 species